GUGCUAUGAAGAUAAUUGUGCAAAUGUGAAAACUUGGGUCUUCACCAUGUCUGAAAUACGUCGACAAAAAAUAGCACAUCUGAGCC